AGGGCGCUUUGGCUUUGGCAGCGGUCCAAGUUCCUUGGAACAGGACGUCACAGAGGGUGAGAAUCCCGUACGUGGUCGCUGGCUAUUGCCGUGUAAAGCCCCUUCGACGAGUCGAGUUGUUUGGGAAUGCAGCUCUAAAUGGGAGGUACAUUUCUUCUAAAGCUAAAUAUUGGCCAGAGACCGAUAGCGCACAAGUAGAGUGAUCGAAAGAUGAAAAGCACUUUGGAAAGAGAGUCAAACAGCACGUGAAAUUGUUGAAAGGGAAGCGCUUGCAGCCAGACUUGCUUACAGUUGCUCAUCCGGGUUUCUACCCGGUGCACUCUUCUGUAGGCAGGCCAGCAUCAGUUUGGGCGGUAGGAUAAAGGUCUCUGUCACGUACCUCCUUUCGGGGAGGCCUUAUAGGGGAGACGACAUACUACCAGCCUGGACUGAGGUCCGCGCAUCUGCUAGGAUGCUGGCGUAAUGGCUGUAAGCGGGCCGUC
rnacentral:rRNA from 1 species